AUGAUGUGGUUAAUUCGAUGCAACGCGAAAACCUUACCACCUUUGACAUGGCAGGAAUCCCGAAGAGAUUUGGGAGUGCUCGCAAGAGAACCGGAACACAGGUGCUGCAUGGCUGUCGUCAGCUCGUGUCGUGAGAUGUUGGGUUAAGUCCCGCAACGAGCGCAACCCUUGUCAUUAGUUGCCAUCAUUUGGUUGGGCACUCUAAUGAGACUGCCGGUGACAAACCGGAGGAAGGUGGGGAUGACGUCAAGUCCUCAUGGCCCUUAUGGGUAGGGCUUCACACGUCAUACAAUGGUCGGUACAGAGGGUUGCCAACCCGCGAGGGGGAGCUAAUCCCACAAAGCCGAUCGUAGUCCGGAUCGCAGUCUGCAACUCGACUGCGUGAAGUCGGAAUCGCUAGUAAUCGUGGAUCAGCAUGUCACGGUGAAUACGUUCCCGGGUCUU
rnacentral:rRNA from 1 species